rnacentral:lncRNA from 1 species
GGAAAAAGCAAUUCAUGAAUUGGGGUAUGCCAGACCAAAAAAAUGUUCAAUGUUCUAAUGACAUAGCGUCAGAGGCAAAUAUUUUUAGGUUGAAUACGGAAAAAAGAUAAAGAAAUUAUUUGAUUGGUGACAGUUGCAAAAUUAUCUUAUUUGAUUCAUCCCAUUCGAAAGUCCCUAGUUAUAUAAUUAGAAACUUUUUGUCUGCCAAUAAUUGGCUGAGGUUUUCUUUCUAACAUAAGCAUUUACCAGAAAUGGCUAAAGUUAAGUUUUGCUAAAGUUUGCAAAUUAAGCAAAGUUAAGAUGACUUAUGAGGCCUGACUGCUUUUGUCUAGUCAGAGAUUCUUCAGGCUGGUCUCUCGUCAUUUUAAUUUACUUUAACAACAGUGAACUCAUAGGAAUUAGAAUAAAGACUGAAACUGCAAGACUGAAAGCACAUACCACUUAUUAGGAAAAAUCUCUAACAGUAAACCUUCAGACACAUUCUGGUUAAACCAUUAAACUAAAAUUUUUUUUUCACAUUCAGGACAAAAAUAAUUCACUUACAAGGAGAAAAAUCAGGUGGGUUUCAGAUGUCUUUCCAGCAGCAAUCAGUGCCAGAGCAAAGGAGAAAUGUCCAGAAGAAAAACAGAAUAUGACCCAAGUGGAUUCUACCCAGCCAAGCUGGAGCUUAGGUAUAAAGGCAAGAGCUCACAUUUUCAGACAUGAAGGGACUCAGAAAAUACAACAUCUGUUAGCCCUUGUGAAAAAUCUACUUGAUGGUGAGAUCUUGUUAACUAAAGGUUGCAUCAAAAGAGAGUCCUGCCAUUCUGAAGCUGUAGAAGUGGGAUUGGUAGGGAGCAUGGAAUCCAGGUGGAUGCAGGAAUGCUAUUAACACCCAGGAGAGAGAUGGUUUCAGAUGCAGAAUGAAAUGUUGCAAACUCUGAAAAGUUGAAAUAAUUUAAGCAUCGAAACCAGAAAGAAGAAGAGGGCAGGAUAGACGUGUAUCUAAAUGUUAAUCUCUUAUCUUUCCCAGCGUGUAUCAAUCUCAUCUCUACGGAAACUCACUUUUUUUUUUUUUUUUUUUUAGACAUAGCACUCUGUCGCCCAGGCUGGAGUGCAGCGGCUCAAUCACAGCUCACUGCAGUCUCGCCCUCCUGGGCUUAAUUACUUCUGAAUUUCGGAGAUCUAAAUAUUUUUUAGUUGUUUGAAAAAGCCAUCAGUUGAUGCCAAUUAAUAGAACCCCACCAUGAGUCAGCAGGUGUAGGCUCUGGUCUCACUUCUGGCAUCAUCUUGGCAAGUCGUUCUUCCUCUGGACCUCAGACUCCUAGCUCCAAAAUGACAGACUCAGCAAGAUGAUCUAGGGUUUCUCCUGGCUCCAGUUCAUUCGAACAGCAUCUUUUACAUAUUUCAAUUAGUCACCCAUGUUUACAUAUCAGAAGAUUUGACAUAAAAAAUUCCACCUCUAUUUUCUUUUAAAAACCAGAGUUUGAGGUGGCACUCCUGGGUCUGCCUGGAUCAAGGUCGCUCCUUCAGGUCACCGGAGUUCCUACCACCAACUUCACUCUGGUCUGCCUGGACUGUGGGGUUUUCAGCCCCUAAGCAGAAGAAAGGAACUUAGAGUAUCAGUUGUCACCCUCUCCAGAGAAAACUCAAGGCUUUUUUUUCUUUUUGGGUUUCCCCUUAUAGUGAAUAUGGAGUCCAAGAGAACAAAACCUCAAACUGAUUCUCUAAAUUCUCAUUUUUGUUCUUCAUAAAAAUUUCCAUCCAGGCAGUUUAAAUAAGCCCAGUUGUUUCCAAGAAAACAGAAGGGAAAGCUGAGGAAACCCCACCCCCCACCCCCAGUUCCCAGGGCUCCAGUGCUUGCUCUGUGCCCCAGACCACUGCCCAUCUGGAUCCUGGUUGUGUUAGGGGGGCGGGCGCGGGAGGGCACCAUCUGGUAGAGAACUUACUGCGGUUUGGCUGAGUUGUAUAGGUGAAGCUUUCAUUCUCAAAUAAAUUUUAAAAGAUUCUUGCUCAAUAUAAGGAUAUGGGAUAUAGAGACAAAUGUUCCAGAAAAAAAAAAAAAAAAGAUUAAAAAUCCACAUAGGCAACAAUCCUUCAUCUUCUUAGGGCAGUCUAGUCCAGGAAGCUUCUCCUGCUUUUGAAGGUUUUUCUUUGAUCUUAAAAUAAAUGAGGCCAGGUGCAGUGGCUCAUGCCUGUAAUCUCAGCAUUUUGGGAAGUCAAGGUGGGAGGAUCACUUGAGGCCAGGAGCUUGAGACCAGCCUGGGCAAUAUAGAGAGAUGCCAUCUCUACAAAAAAAUAAAAAAACAAAAUUAGCGGCCAGGCACAGUGGCUCACUCCUGUAAUCCCAGCACUUUGGGAGACCAAGGUGGGUGGAUCACUUGAGGUCAGGAGUUCAAGACCAGCCUGGCCAACAUGGUGAAACCCCCUCUUCACCAAAAAUACAAAAAUUAGCCAGGUGUGGUGGUGCAUGCCUGUAGUCCCAGCUACUUGGGAGGCUGAGGCAGGAGAGUCACUUGAACCCAGGAGACAGAGGCUGCAAUGAGCCAAAAUUGCACCACAGCACUCCAGCCUGGGCAACAGCCUAGAUGUUAUUUUUUAAGAUGUCUUUAAAAUAUAUACAAAUUUUAAAAUAAAAUGAAUGUUUUUUUCUCUUCUCUCAAUAGACCCAAGUUUUCUUUGCUUCUUGUGAAUGGCCUCACUACCCAAUCUUUUUUUCCCAUAGUGAACGUGCCCAGAGAAUGCAGGUCAGCUGGACACCAGAAGUGGAAGUGGAAAGGCUGUGGGCUAUUGUCACUGAACUAGAGAUGGAUGGGAACAGGCCGGUCUCUCAAACUUGGGAGGUGAGAACCAGACACCCCCAAAUCCCACGAGCCAGAAAGAGCUACUGAGACCAUCCUCAUGAACACUUCUCUUUGUAUGUUUUAGAGAUUUAACCAUACAUAGUAUGCAACUUUAUAUGCAUAUGGUGUGAGUUUUAGAUAACUAGAAUCUUGUUGUUUAGGAUGUUUUCUGUUCAGCAAUAUGUGGUGGAUACAUCUCAAUCUGAAGAAAUAAAAGAUCUGCAUCAGUGGGGCCGGUGGUGCUAACGCAUGUCUGUAAUCCCAGCACUUUGGGAUGCUGAGGUGGGAGGAUCACCUGAGGUCAGGAGUUCGAGACCAGCCUGGCCAACAUGGUGAAACCCCGUCUCUACUAAAAAUACAAAAAUUAGCCUGGUGCAGUGGUGCGCACCUAUAGUCCCAGGUACUCAUGAGGCUGAGGCAGGAGAAUUGCUUGAACCUGGGAAGCAGAGGUUGCAGUGAGCCAAGAUCGUGCCAUUGCACUCCAGCCUGGGCAACAGAGUGAGACUCUGUCUCAAAAAACAAAAAGCAAACAAACAAACAAAAAACACCAAGAUCUGCAUCAGCGGCGGUACUGAACACAGGUACAAUUUCACGGCUUCCUAAUGUGUUGUAUCCAUUUACAGUCCUAACAGCAGGAUGUGAAAUCGCUCAUAUUUUCUAAACCUUUCCUACACUUGGUUUUAUCACUCUGUUUAUUCUUUGCCAAUCUAAAACUGUUCCAAUACAAUGUAAAAUUUAAAUUUAAAUAAAAUGUGCAUUUCGCUGAUUAAUGUAAGUUGGAAUAUCAUUAUCUUUUCAUAGUUCUUGGGCAAUUAUAUUUCUUCUCUCAGAUUUACACAGUCAUGUCCUCCCCAUUUUUCAAUGUGACCAUUUAGUUCUUACUGAAAAGUAAGUGCACAUUUUAUAACAGGAAUAUUAACCCUUUGUCUUUUUUUUUUCUUUUUGUAGAAUUUUGCAAAAUCUUUGUGGCUGGUCUCUCCACUCUGAUUUUAAUGAUAGUCUUGUUUUGUUUGUUUUUAAAAAAAACACUAUGCUGCAGUUUUAAAUUUCUUUGUAGACAAAUCUUCCGUCUGUGACUUGAUAGAAAAGAAGACAGAUGAGUGUGAACAGAUGGAGGGGAUCCGGGGUGGAUUGGGCAGGAGGGUCUCAUGGCCCUGUGCAGAGUGGAGCUCACCUGUGAAUUCUGACAGGUAAUCCCAGCCACAGUCCAAUAACUGCUGGCAACGGUGAACAAAGGAAAGCUUCUGUGCCUCAGGUGAAACGGGAGUCUAGAAAAAGUUAAUGAAAG